rnacentral:rRNA from 1 species
GCUUGAAAACAGGUGCUGCACGGCUGUCGUCAGCUCGUGUCGUGAGAUGUUGGGUUAAGUCCCGCAACGAGCGCAACCCUCGUCCUUAGUUGCCAGCAGGUUAAGCUGGGCACUCUAAGGAGACUGCCUUCGCAAGGAGGAGGAAGGUGAGGACGACGUCAAGUCAUCAUGGCCCUUAUGGCUAGGGCUACACACGUGCUACAAUGGGGCGUACAGAGAGUUGCGAUACCGCGAGGUGGAGCCAAUCUCAUAAAGCGUCUCUCAGUUCGGAUUGUUCUCUGCAACUCGAGAGCAUGAAGCUGGAAUCACUAGUAAUCGUAGAUCAGCAAUGCUACGGUGAAUACGUUCCCGGGUCUUGUACUCACCGCCCGUCACACCAUGGGAGUUGAUUUCACCCGAAAUCGGGAAGCUAACCUUCGGGAGGCUACCGCUUACGGUGGAAUUAGCGACUGGGGUGAAGUCGUAACAAGGUAACCUUAAUUAAAAA